AAACCAGCUCUUCAAGUGGUCGGGAUAAUUAUAGGGCUUAAAGUGUCCGUAGCCGGUUUAGUAAGUUCCUGGUAAAAUCGGGUAGCUUAACUAUCCGUAUGCUAGGAAUACUGCUAUACUAGAGGGCGGGAGAGGUCUGAGGUACUACAGGGGUAGGGGUGAAAUCUUAUAAUCCUUGUAGGACCACCAGUGGCGAAGGCGUCAGACUGGAACGCGCCUGACGGUGAGGGACGAAAGCCAGGGGAGCGAACCGGAUUAGAUACCCGAGUAGUCC
rnacentral:rRNA from 1 species